rnacentral:rRNA from 1 species
GUGCCAGCCGCCGCGGUAAUACGUAGGGGGCGAGCGUUGUCCGGAUUUAUUGGGCGUAAAGAGCUCGUAGGCGGUUUGGUAAGUCGGAUGUGAAAUCUCCAGGCUCAACUUGGAGCGGUCAUUCGAUACUGUCAUGACUAGAGUUCGGUAGGGGAGUGUGGAAUUUCUGGUGGAGCGGUGAAAUGCGCAGAUAUCAGAAGGAACACCCGUAGCGAAGGCGGCACUCUGGGCCGGAACUGACGCUGAGGAGCGAAAGCGUGGGGAGCGAACAGGAUUAGAUACCCGAGUAGUCC